CAGUGGGCCGGCCCAAUCAGCGCGUCGUCCCGACAUUUUUCUACCUCAAUCUGUAUGGGCCAAGAAGACUUCCAUUUUGAUGAAGCAAAGCCCAACUUGUAAGCGCUCCCUUUCAGCAGCUUCGGCCCAUGCGACAGAUUCCGGUUGGUCGAGCUGCUCCGCUGCCGGCCGGCGCCCCUCGCCGCCUCCCUCCAGUCCGGUGGCCACAGCGCCCUCUCGCCGUUCAAGCUAUCGAACGCACAUCCGGAGCCACAAAAGAGAGAGCGCCCGCGCCCGCGCCCCCGUUGCCCCGCGCGACACGGCGAUUUCGCGAGCCCUAGCGAAUCUUGAGGCCCUCGGUGGAAUCGAAAAUCAAGCUGGGGAUGCUGGCUCGCCGGCGGUCCGGCGGAGCGUGAAUGAUCUGGUGGCAUGCCCUCUGGAGGUGAUCCUUUCCAGGGAGCCAAAGUUGGUGGUGGGAGAGGCACCAUGCAUGGACAAGGACUAUUUUGAGAUGAAUAUCGGACAAGGGGUUCGAUCUAAUUUAUCCAUAGCAACAACCCUCCUCUAUAAUGAGCCUGCAAUAUAAGCUAUGCUAGGUCUCGUCUUAAUAAGAUGGGAGUUAAGUUAGGUUCAGUUAACCUGCAAUAUAUAACUGUACUGAAUUGGUACCCAGAUGCUCUCAAAACACACAUAAUCUUUUGCCAUCAGAUGAAAAUAUGUAACGUGGUCAAAGAAGAAGAAGAUAGCUACGGUAGCAAA